rnacentral:rRNA from 1 species
AGCUCGUAGUUGGAUUUGUGGCUUUCUUGAGUGGCCUGGCACCUAGUGCUAGUGUUUGCUUGAGUCGCCAUCCUUGGGUGGAACUUGUGUGGCAUUAGGUUGUCGUGCAAGGGAUGCCCAUCCUUUGCUGUGAAAAAAUUAGAGUGUUCAAAGCAGGCUUAUGCCGUUGAACACAUUAGCAUGGAAUGACAAGAUAGGACCUUGGUGCUGUUUUGUUGGUUUGCGCACCAAGGCAAUGAUUAAUAGGGACAGUUGGGGGUGUUCGCAUUCCAUUGUCAGAGGUGAAAUUCUUGGAUUUUUGGAAGACGAACUACUGCGAAAGCAUUCACCAAGGAUGUUUUCAUUAAUCAAGAACGAAAGUUAGGGGAUCGAAGAUGAUUAGACACCAUCGUAGUCUUAACCACAAACUGCGCCGACAAGGGAUUGGCGGAGUUUCGUUUUGUCUCCGUCAGCACCUUAUGAGAAAUCACAAGUCUUUGGGUUCCGGGGGGAGUGUGGUCGCAAGGCUGAAACUUAAAGAAAUUGACGGAAGGGCACCACCAGGAGUGGAGCCUGCGGCUUAAUUUGACUC